rnacentral:rRNA from 1 species
CCUACGGGAGGCAGCAGUAGGGAAUAUUGCUCAAUGGGGGAAACCCUGAAGCAGCAACGCCGCGUGGAGGAUGAAGGUUUUCGGAUUUUAAACUCCUUUUGUUAUAGAAGAUAAUGACGGUAUCUAACGAAUAAGCACCGUCUAACUCCGUGCCAGCAGCCGCGGUAAUACGGAGGGUGCAAGCGUUACUCGGAAUCACUGGGCGUAAAGAGCGCGUAGGCGGGAUAGCAAGUCAGAUGUGAAAUCCUAUGGCUUAACCAUAGAAUUGCAUUUGAAACUGUUAUUCUAGAGUAUGGGAGAGGUAGGUGGAAUUCUUGGUGUAGGGGUAAAAUCCGUAGAGAUCAAGAGGAAUACUCAUUGCGAAGGCGACCUGCUAGAACAUAACUGACGCUGAUGCGCGAAAGCGUGGGGAGCAAACAGGAUUAGAUACCCCUGUAGUC